UCCGCCACAAGCGAACGAGCCUGGGCUGGCCUUGUGGAAGCCUAGCCGAGGCCUCAGAAUAUGGAUGAGAUCAUCUGAGACCAUCCACCCCAGGAAGCCAGCAAAGUGGCUAGAACCCGCCAUACCACCGCAGAAUCACGAUUGCUGUUCUGAGUCACUACAUUUCAGGUGACUUGUUGAGCAGCAAACGAGCUGACGAACCUAAAGUCAGAAGAUGCUAGCGGAAGAAACAGGACCCAGAACUCCAUUGGAAAAUGGGGUAUACAGACUUCGAGGAUGCCAGACAAAAAGAUCAUUUGAAAUAUUGUUGUCACUAAGCCUUCUUUGAUCAAGACACCAUGAGCUCAUGGAACUGGUCCUCUGAAGACAGUGUCUGCAAUGAAGCUGAGUCCUCUCUCUCUCCCAGGCCCGAGUGUCUACCUCUAAUUUAUUCCUGAUGAAUGACAGCAAGUUCACAGCCUCAGGCUAAUGGAAGCACGACAGUGAGCAAGACAGACAAGGUCACUACCCGCAAGGAGCUGUUGAUGGAGAAUAACAUGCAAAGAAGAAGGUAAGAAACUGACCAGAUUGCUUACUGUGAGUGGGAAGGUGGUGAAAAAGUUACAGGUGGAGAGUGCUGAAAAGAGCAAAGAACACAGUAAGAGACGCAGGAUUGAGCUUUCAGCUGCUCUGUAGAUUCUCAUCAGAGGUGCAGACUCUUCUUUGUGGAUCAUACCUACAUUUUAUUUUUCCUGAAAAUAUAGUAUGUAUUCAGGGCACACAGGCAUCUUCUAUUCACUUCAUCAUCAACACUUGUCAAACAAAAACUGCUAUUCAUGCUACAGACUCAUGCAGCUCCCUGCAUUUUGAAAGAAUUGCCUCCCUCUUCUGAGCCUGGCUCAAGGUAAGACCCAUCCCUUUGUGUUCCUGUAGAGCCCUAUACUUGCACUGAUGGUGUUCUAAUUUCUUGUGUAUUGCUUGCUCUUCCACUAGACUGGAGGAUAAAGGAAAUGUGUUUCAUUAAUAUUUACUCCCACUUCCCAAACAUGUCACAAUCAGCACACAAUAGAUACGUUCUAAAUGCUCGAAGGUCUGUUGUCAAAUAUUCCUUAUAAUCGUGGUGCUGGAGUAAAA
rnacentral:lncRNA from 1 species